rnacentral:misc_RNA from 1 species
GAUGAAGAACGCAGCGAAAUGUGAUAAGUAAUGUGAAUUGCAGAAUUCAGUGAAUCAUCGAAUCUUUGAACGCACCUUGCGCCCUUUGGCCAUUCCGAAGGGCAUGCCUGUUUGAGUAUCAUGAACACCUCAACUCUCAUGGCUCGCCAUGAUGAGCUUGGAUUUGGGGGUCUUGCUGGCCUGUGGUCGGCUCCUCUCAAAUGGAUCAGCUUGCCAGUGUUUGGUGGCAUCACAGGUGUGAUAACUAUCUGCGCUUGUGGUUUUCCAUCAGAUAACCUUCAGUGAUGGAGGUUCGCUGGAGCUCAUAAACGUCUCCCCUAAGCGGGGACAGCCCUUUGAAUGUUUGAUCUCAAAUCAGGUAGGACUACCCGCUGAACUUAAGCAUAUCAAUAAGCGGAGGA